rnacentral:rRNA from 1 species
UACAGAGGUCUCAAGCGUUGUUCGGAUUCAUUGGGCGUAAAGGGUGCGUGGGCGGCGCGGUAAGUCGGGGGGGAAAUCUUGGAGCUUAACUCCGAAACUGCAUUCGAUACUGCCGUGCUUGAGGACUGGAGAGGAGACUGGAAUUUACGGUGUAGCGGUGAAAUGCGUAGAUAUCGUAAGGAAGACCAGUGGCGAAGGCGGGUCUCUGGACAGUUCCUGACGCUGAGGCACGAAGGCCAGGGGAGCAAACGGG